ACGCUCGACACCUACGGGAAGCAGCAGUGGGGAAUAUUGCACAAUGGAGGAAACUCUGAUGCAGCGAUGCCGCGUGAGGGAAGAAGGUUUUCGGAUUGUAAACCUCUGUCUUUGGGGACGAUAAUGACGGUACCCAAGGAGGAAGCUCCGGCUAACUACGUGCCAGCAGCGGCGGUAAUCUGAGCGGGCUGGCAAGGC
rnacentral:rRNA from 1 species